UGGCGGCGUGCUAACACAUGCAAGUCGAGCCGAGAAAGGCCUUCGGGCUGAGUACAGCGGCGGACGGGUGAGUAACACGUAAGUAUCUUGCCUUUCAGUGAAGAAUACCUCUGAGAAAUUGGGGUUAAUGCUACAUACGCUCCUUCGGGAGGAAAGAUGGCCUCUUUGCUGUCGCUGAAAGAUGAGUUUGCGUACUAUUAGUUUGUUGGUGGGGUAAAGGCCUACCAAGACGAAGAUGGCUAGCCGGCCUGAGAGGGUGAACGGCCACAUUGGAACUGAGACACGGUCCAGACUCCUACGGGAGGCAGCAGUGAGGAAUUUUGCGCAAUGGGCGAAAGCCUGACGCAGCGACGCCGCGUGGAGGAUGAAGGCUUUAGGGUCGUAAACUUCUGUUAAGUGGGAAGAAAUGCACAGUCUUAAUACGGCUGUGAGAUGACGGUACCGCUAGAGAAAGCACCGGCUAACUUCGUGCCAGCAGCCGCGGUAAUACGAGGGGUGCAAGCGUUAUUCGGAAUAAUUGGGCGUAAAGGGUGCGCAGGCGGCAUGUUAAGUCAACUGUUUAAUUUCCCGGCUUAACCGGGAGUCAGCGGUAGAAACUGGUAUGCUAGAGUGUGGAAGAGAGAAGUGGAAUUCUCGGAGUAGCGGUAAAAUGCGUAGAUCUCGAGAGGAACACCGAUGGCGAAGGCAGCUUCUUGGUCCACUACUGACGCUCAUGCACGAAAGCGUGGGGAGCAAACAGGAUUAGAUACCCUGGUAGUCCACGCCGUAAACGAUGAUCACUGGACGUCAGCUCUGCUUGCAGGGUUGGUGUUGUAACUAACGCGUUAAGUGAUCCGCCUGGGGAGUACGGUCGCAAGAUUAAAACUCAAAGAAAUUGACGGGGGGUCCGCACAAGCGGUGGAACAUGUGGUUUAAUUCGAUACUACCCGAGGAACCUUACCUAGGUUUGACAUGUAUUUGACCGUCACAGAAACGUGAAUUUUCGUAGUUUACUACG
rnacentral:rRNA from 1 species